rnacentral:rRNA from 1 species
GACGAGCGCUGGCGGCGUGCCUAAUACAUGCAAGUCGAACGAAGCUGUUUUAACUGGUGCUUGCACCGACUUAAACAACUGAGUGGCGAACGGGUGAGUAACACGUGGGUAACCUGCCCCAAAGCGGGGGAUAACAUUUGGAAACAGAUGCUAAUACCGCAUAACCACAGAAACCACAUGGUUUCUGUGUCAAAGAUGGUUUCGGCUAUCACUUUGGGAUGGACCCGCGGCGUAUUAGCUAGUUGGUAAGGUAAUGGCUUACCAAGGCAAUGAUACGUAGCCGAACUGAGAGGUUGAUCGGUCACAUUGGGACUGAGACACGGCCCAAACUCCUACGGGAGGCAGCAGUAGGGAAUCUUCCACAAUGGACGAAAGUCUGAUGGAGCAACGCCGCGCGAGUGAAGAAGGUUUUCGGAUCGUAAAACUCUGUUGUCAGAGAAGAACGUGUGCGAGAGUAACUGUUCGUGCAGUGACGGUAUCUGGCCAGAAAGCCACGGCUAACUACGUGCCAGCAGCAGCCGCAG